rnacentral:lncRNA from 1 species
AUGUUUGGUUUGUUUUAUUUCCAAGACGGCUCCGUUAGAGCAGAAAAUACAUCCGUCAUACGUGAUGCAUACAGAAAUAAAAAAAUAACGGUUAACUGCAGGGAAGACCUCGAGUCGGAGCAGGGCUGGAUAGAGGUCAUUUGGCCUACACAACGGCGACAACAAGAGGCGAAGCCUAUUGCAGCCAAAUUGCUUUUCGUUGGAGACACGGUGAGGGAGAAAUUCCCCAACACCAUGGUUAGUGAGAUCCGGGCCCUGCUGCGGAGGAAAUGCAAUAAUGAGGGCUACACCAAGGUUGCUCCUCAGUAGCUUUAUUAUAUAUGUUAUAUAUGUCAGACGUUUUAAAGUUAGGUGUUGUUGAAUGUAUGUUUGUAUUAAUAUUUAAAUUAAACUUAUGGUUUGUACAAUUUUAAGUGUUUUUUGUCAUGGAACAAAAUAGCACCCAUGGAGUGUACUACAAUGGUACCAGAAAGAAGUGCAUGUGUAGUAUAAUAGUGAUGUAUUGUAAGUAUAUUUCUGUAGUAUUUAUAAAGUACUUAGCAGUAUAACAGUAUUGUACUUAAAAUACCCUUAAUAUACGCUUCCACUUUACAUUAUAGUAUAAUAACUAUACUUUAAGUAUAUGCCUUUGAUGCUUAAAUUGUGAUACAAAUGUACUAUAAAUCAAUAUUAAAUACUUGUAUUAACAUAAUGGCACACUUAAAAAGUACUAAAUAUAGUCAGAAAGUGUAUUUGAAUUUAAUUUGAAAUAUUAUAGAGGUAUGAUAAUAGUUUGUUCAAAAUACACUUAUUCUGUAGUAUAAGUAGUGAUAAAAUACACUUCAUAUACACUUCCACUCUGCAUUAUAGUAUUAUAACAUUAUACUUAAAGUACUUGCCUUUGAUGCUUAAAUUGUGACACAAAUUUACUAUAAAUACAUAAUAAAUGCAUUUUUAUUUACAUAAUUGCACACUUUAAAAGUACUAAAUAUAGUCAGAAAGUGUACUUGAAUUUAAUUAGAAAUAUGACAGAGGAAUGAUAAUAGUGUGUUAAAAAUACUCUUCUAUUAUGUAGUAUAAGCAGUGAUAAAAUACACUCAAUAUACACUUCUGCUCCUCAUUAGAGUAUAAUAACAUUGUACUCAAAGUGCAUGCCUUAAUGCCUUCGAUGCUGCAAUUGUGAUAGAAAUGUACUAUAAAUACAUUUAAUUAACAUAAUGGCAGACUUAAAAAGUACUAAAUAUAGUCAGAAAGUGUAUUUGAAUUUAAUUUGAAAUAUGACAGAGGUAUGAUAAUAGUGUGUUCAAAAUAGACUUAUAUACCUUUGAACCAUAAUGCCUUUUUAAGUAUAUUUCAAACACUGGUAAUAUAAUGCUAUUGUACUGCAAGUGUGUUUCAAAUGCUAGAAAUCAUACUUUUCACUAGUGUACUUCAGUACACUUAAAGGUUGUCAAAGGGGGUCAGAUGAUCCAAAUUUGAAUAAAAAUGUUACGAUGAAGAGAAACUGUUUGAAAAUGUUGUUUAAGAUGUUGUUAAAGAUGUAUUUAAAUGUACUUUAUUAUGCACAUUUUCCCUGUCAUGCCAUGCAUGUUAAAA